AACGCACGAGACCUGCGGACCUGCGGAGGGAUCAUUAAUGAGAAAUUGCCCCUCGCGGGUAGAUCUCCCACCCUUUGUAAACUUACCUUUGUUGCUUUGGCAGGCCCGUCUCCGGACCGCCGGCUUCGGCUGGCCAGUGCCUGCCAGAGGAUUCUAAAACUCUGUCUGUCAGUGUUGUCUGAGUCUAUAUACAAUCGUUAAAACUUUCAACAACGGAUCUCUAGAUCGGAAGAGCACACG
rnacentral:misc_RNA from 1 species